rnacentral:tRNA from 1 species
GCUGUGAUGGCCGAGUGGUUAAGGCGUUGGACUUGAAAUCCAAUGGGGUUUCCGUGCGCAGGUUCAAACCCUACUCAUAGUG